rnacentral:rRNA from 1 species
GAUGAACGCUGGCGGCGUGCUUAACACAUGCAAGUCGAACGGAAAGGCCUCUGCUUGCAGGGGUACUCGAGUGGCGAACGGGUGAGUAACACGUGGGUGAUCUGCCCUGCACUUCGGGAUAAGCCUGGGAAACUGGGUCUAAUACCGGAUAGGACAAUGGUUUGGAUGCCGUUGUGGAAAGUUUUUCGGUGUGGGAUGAGCUCGCGGCCUAUCAGCUUGUUGGUGGGGUAAUGGCCUACCAAGGCGUCGACGGGUAGCCGGCCUGAGAGGGUGUACGGCCACAUUGGGACUGAGAUACGGCCCAGACUCCUACGGGAGGCAACAGUGGGGAAUAUUGCACAAUGGGCGCAAGCCUGAUGCAGCGACGCCGCGUGGGGGAUGACGGCCUUCGGGUUGUAAACUCCUUUCGCUAGGGACGAAGCGCAAGUGACGGUACCUGGAGAAGAAGCACCGGCUAACUACGU